AGAGUUUGAUCCUGGCUCAGGACGAACGCUGGCGGCGUGCUUAACACAUGCAAGUCGAGCGGAAAGGCCCUUCGGGGUACUCGAGCGGCGAACGGGUGAGUAACACGUGAGCAACCUGCCCCUGGCUCUGGGAUAGCCUCCGGAAACGGGGAUUAAUACCGGACAUGACCCUUCGAGGCAUCUUGGGGGGUGGAAAGUUU
rnacentral:rRNA from 1 species